CGCACUCAAGUGAGGAAUGGGGAAGGAGGGUGGAGGAAGGAGCUUGUAAAUGAGCAGCUGGUUUGCAGCAAAACCGCACCUCACUCUGCACCUUUGGAUCCCUCUCAGCCUGAGGUUAGCACAGCCAAUGUCCUCACCAGCGUCUGCCAAAGCCCAUGGAGAAGGCCAGCAGGAGCAUAUCACUGUGACUUACAACCCUUCUCUAGUCUGCUACAAUGGAAUCUUAAACAAGAAAAUUUUAUAUUUUGACUUGCAUCAUUGAGAAAAACACUGCCAACCUGAUCGUGGUUCCUUUGAAGAAUCACUGCAGCAGGUGCGAGAGAGGACUCAUGGAGCUUGCAGAUGAGCUAGCCCAGAUGCAAUUCCAGGAAUGCCAGGAAGCAAACCAAUUCCACCCCAAGAUACAAACAAAGAACAGCACCCUCUCAAAUGAUGCUGCAUGAUAAGUGGCCACAGAGAGCACCGCUGUAAUCAGUCAGAAAGGCAGGAGUGUUACCCGUGAUGCCAGGUGCAGGUGAAAGAAGUUGGAAUUGAAAAGAGCAGCAAAAAAUGUACUGCUUUUUAGUGCAUAAGAUCAUGAAAAUAUUGCACUGUGAGGGGAAAAGGUUGGUUUUCAGAGUUGGACUCUGUUGUCACCAAGAGAAGCACCAAGAAAGGGUGUGGAUAACUUACAGUCUGCUCAUUAUAGUCAUCUUAGCAAAGUAUAUUUUUCAAAUAAUUUUGCAUAAUCUUUCAACAGGCUUAUUCUUGUCAUAUUUUGUCAUUUCUCUCACCCACAUCAUCUUAAUAUUGUAAGCCUUAUAUUCCUCCAAAUAACCUAUAUGUUAUCUUUGAACUGAAAUGAACUAUUAGGGAGCUGCACAUUAACAGCUCUAUUCCUGCUCCAUCUCUUUUUUUUCUACAAUAAGCAUUUAUUUAUUCUUUAAAUUUUUUUUUAAUUUUAUCCAUCUCCUCUAGGAUUUCUAGUUUAUCCUCUUUGCCUAUAGGUUUUUGGGGAACCAGGUGGUACUUGAUUACAUGAGUAAGUUCCUUAGUGGUGAUUUGUGAGAUUUUG
rnacentral:lncRNA from 1 species